rnacentral:lncRNA from 1 species
UUCUCUAGGUGCUCAUCGUGCUUUUUAUUGAAAUCCAGGAAGAUCUUCACAUCUAGCCCUAUUUCAAAACAAUCAUCCGUGGCACAGGGGCUACAUGUGACUGAGAUAUUUGAGGAGUAAAGGAAAUGAUGGCGGCCAAUGGGUUCUUAAACUGGUGAAAGGGAAGCACAGGGAACCUGGGGCAAGACCAAAAACCGUUUGAAAUCAACAGAGCAGAGAAACCUGUCUUGCCCAAUCAGCCCCAGAAUCCUCUUCUUUCACAAGCUACUUUCUCAGGUUGUUAUUCUGUGGAUCACUAUAAUCUUCCCCAUUUGCCACUCCUGUCCAGUCAG